rnacentral:rRNA from 1 species
AAAAAAAGUUUUAGUAAAACAAUUGAAAAUCUAUAGAUAUCCGAAGGGAGACCAAGAGAAAAAAAAUGUAGUGAAGUGAAACAUCUCAGUAACUAUAAGAAAAAAAAUCAAAAGAGAUACGGAAAGUAGUGGUGAGCGAAAUUCGUAGGGAAGACCCAGAAAGAAAAGAACUGAAAAUCAGGUGGAAGUCCAAGGCGAAAAAGGGUGAAAGUCCAGUAGGGGAAAAACAGAAGGGUAAGAAAAGUAAAACGAAGAAAGGAGGAAUUUGUUUGAAAAAGGGGGGCCCACCCUCCAACUCUAAAUAUGCUUAAUUGACUGAUAGUGAACAAGUACUGUGAAGGAAAGAUGAAAAAGAAAAUAGAGAAAUAUUUUGAGAAGUGAAAAGAUUGUGAAAUUGUAAACAUGAAGAGCAGUUGGAAGUAAAAUGACAACGUACCUUUUGUAUAAUGGGUCAGCGAGUUAAUAUAUGUAGCAAGCUUAAGAUGAUAAUUGUAGGCGCAGCGAAAGCGAAUCUUAAUAGGGUUAUUAAAGAGUUACAUAUAUUAGACCCGAAACCAAGUGAUCUAAUUAUGAACAAGUACUUUAUAAUUUAACGAUUAUAAUUUGACUGAACCCGUGACUGUUGCAAUAGUUUGGGAUGAUUUGUGAUUAGGGGUGAAAGGCUAAUCAAACUUGGUGAUAGCUGUUUUUUACGAAAUCUAUUUAGGUAGAGUGAUGGUAUAACAUUAAUAGGGGUAGAGCAACUGAGUAGUAAAUCCUAAGAUUUUUAUUUAAACUUCGAAUACUAAUUAAUAUAUUUGCCAUUAAGCAGACAGUGAGCGCUAAGGUCCAUUGUCGAAAGGGAAACAUCCCAGCUUGUAAGUUAAUGUUCUUAAAUAAUAACGUAGUGUAAAAGGCAAGGAAAAAGUGAAGUUAAUUGGUAAGUAAGCAUGGAAGCAGCUAUCUUAUAAUGAAAGCGUAAAAGCUCACCAAUUUAAGGCGUUUUCUAGCCAACAAUGUACAGGAACUGUUUAGUAUUAUACAGAAACUACAAAAUUAAAAAAUUGGUAGUAAAAUGUUCUGUUUAUCUUUGAAGUGAGAUCAAGAAGAUCUGAUGGAGAUUUCAGAAUUAAGAAUGCUGAUAUGAGUAAUGUAAAUAACGUGAAAACGUUAUCACUGAAAAUUAGAAGUUUCCUAAUAAAAGGUAAGCUGAUUAGGGUUACGCGAUCGCUAAGAUUAAUAUGAAAAUAAAAAAUUGAUGCGUAUUUAGAUUAAUAUUUCUAACGUUCAAAUAUAUAACUAAAAUAAUACACUCAUUGACAUGAAUAUUUUUUUCUUAUAUAUUAUAACUAUUUAUAGUAAGAUUAUAAUAUGAAUUAUAAAAAUAAAUGAUGUGAUCCUUUCUUGUAAAAAAGAAAAGGAAUAUUUGAAAUCGUACUUAAACCGACACAGGUUAAUAGAUAGAGUAUAUUAAAGUGAAGAAUGAAUGAUAUUGAAGGAACUCGGCAAAAUGACUCUGUAACUGCGGGAGAAAGAGUGUCUUUAAUGUUGAAUUAAAGAUCUUAGAAAAGAGGGAGAAGCGGCUGUUUAUUAAAAACACAGGAUUCUGCAAAAUGGCAACAUGAUGUAUAGGAUCUGCGAUCUGCCCAGUGCUGGAAGAGUAAAAGGAGAGAUGCAAGUUUCAAAUUGAAUUCCCAGUAAACGGCGGCUGUAACUAUGACGGUCCUAAACAUACUUUGGGUCUUUGUAUAGUAAUAUACAAAUAAAUAAUUUGGCUAUAUGCUGGAAAGUCUGUUUUUAAGAAUGAUUUAUUUUAAGGAAUUUACAAUAAACAUUUAUCUUAUAAAGUAUCUUUAAAUUGUAAAGUUUAAAGUGCAGGCAAUCAGCAGGGAAGUUCACUGAUUUAUAAAAUUUAUAAAUUAUAACCCCUCAACGACUACACGCCGAAUAUCCUAACUAAAUAUUAAAUUAAUAGAGGAUAAUGAUAUAGUCUGAUCUUUAUAGCGAUAUAAAGGUUCUAUUAUAAAAAAAUAGAACAUUAAUUAUUAAAAAAAUAAAAAAGAAAAUAAAAUAAUUAAUUAACAUAAAUGAAGGUAGCGAAAUUCCUUGUCGAGUAAUUUUCGACGCGCAUGAAUGAUAUAACGACUUCUCUACUGUCUCCAGUAUCACUUCAAUGAAGUUGAAUUUUCCGUGAAGAUGCGGAAUAAAAGCAGCUAGACGGAAAGACCCUAUGCACCUUAACUUUGAUCAUAUAUUGUAUACAACUUUUAAUUGCGUAGGAUACUUAAGAUGCUUAUGAUGUUUUAGUUUAGGCUAAUUUAACGGAGGCGUUGGUGAAAUAUUAAGUUUAUUAAAAGAAAGAUACUCAAAAAGAAUAAUGUAUGAGAGGUAGUUUAACUGGGGCGGUGUUCUUCUAAAGAGUAACGAAGAAGUAUAAAGGUAAACUCAAAUUAAAAUUGUUAGUUAAUUGUAGAGUGUAAUGGCAUAAGUUUGCUUGACUGUGAGACCUACAAGUCGAACAGGGACGAAAGUCGAUCAUAGUGAUCCAAUGAUUCUGUGUGGAAAGGUCAUUGCUAACGGAUAAAAGGUACGCUAGGGAUAACAGAGUUAUUUUCCAUUAGAGUUCAUAUCUGUUGGAGAGAUUGCUACCUCGAUGUCGGCUUAACACAUCCUGGAGUUGAAAAAGUUUCCAAGGGUACAAGUGUUCAUUGUUUAAAGUGUUACAUGAGCUGGGUUUAGAUCGUCGUGAGACAGAUCGGUCCCUAUCUACUGUUUGUAUUGAAAAGAGCGGAGUCCUCACUUUAGUACGAGAGGACUGAGUUGGAUAGAUCUCUGGUAAAUUGAUUAUCUUAAUAAAGGUAUAGUCAAGUAGCUACAUCUAAAUUAGAUUGUGAUUAUUUUUAAUUCCUUUCUAGAGAGAACUGCUGAAAAAAUAUUAAGUAGGAAACUUACUUUGUCUCUUUUCUUAUUUCGGUAAUAGAUUAUUACUUUGAUAGGCUACAUAUAAAAUUUAAUAGUAAUAUAAAAUAUAGAUUUAUUUCUAUCUAUUAAUUUAAUAAU